GAUGAACGCUGGCGGCGUGCCUAACACAUGCAAGUCGAGCGGCAGCGAGGGGUGCUUGCACCCUGUCGGCGAGCGGCGGACGGCUGAGUCACGCGUGGGAACGUGCCCCAAAGUGAGGAAUAACUGCCCGAAAGGGUAGCUAAUACCGCAUAUUAUCUUCGGAUCAAAGGGUUUAUCCGCUUUGGGAGCGGCUCGCGUCGGAUUAGGUAGUUGGUGAGGUAAUGGCUCACCAAGCCGACGAUCCGUAGCUGGUCUGAGAGGCUGACCAGCCAGACUGGAACUAAGACACGGUCCAGACUCGUACGGGAGGGAGCAGUGAGGAAUCUUCCACAAUGGGCGAAAGCCUGAUGGAGCAACGCCGCGUGCAGGACGAAGGCCUUCGGGUUGUAAACUGCUUUUAUAAGUGAGGAAUAUGACGGUAACUUAUGAAUAAGGAUCGGCUAACUACGUG
rnacentral:rRNA from 1 species